UGAGGCGUGAUGACGAGGCACUACGGUGCUGAAGCAACAAAUGCCCUGCUUCCAGGAAAAGCCUCUAAGCAUCAGGUAACAUCAAAUCGUACCCCAAACCGACACAGGUGGUCAGGUAGAGAAUACCAAGGCGCUUGAGAGAACUCGGGUGAAGGAACUAGGCAAAAUGGUGCCGUAACUUCGGGAGAAGGCACGCUGAUAUGUAGGUGAAGCGACUUGCUCGUGGAGCUGAAAUCAGUCGAAGAUACCAGCUGGCUGCAACUGUUUAUUAAAAACACAGCACUGUGCAAACACGAAAGUGGACGUAUACGGUGUGACGCCUGCCCGGUGCCGGAAGGUUAAUUGAUGGGGUUAGCGGUAACGCGAAGCUCUUGAUCGAAGCCCCGGUAAACGGCGGCCGUAACUAUAACGGUCCUAAGGUAGCGAAAUUCCUUGUCGGGUAAGUUCCGACCUGCACGAAUGGCGUAAUGAUGGCCAGGCUGUCUCCACCCGAGACUCAGUGAAAUUGAACUCGCUGUGAAGAUGCAGUGUACCCGCGGCAAGACGGAAAGACCCCGUGAACCUUUACUAUAGCUUGACACUGAACAUUGAGCCUUGAUGUGUAGGAUAGGUGGGAGGCUUUGAAGUGUGGACGCCAGUCUGCAUGGAGCCGACCUUGAAAUACCACCCUUUAAUGUUUGAUGUUCUAACGUUGGCCCCUGAUCGGGGUUGCGGACAGUGUCUGGUGGGUAGUUUGACUGGGGCGGUCUCCUCCUAAAGAGUAACGGAGGAGCACGAAGGUUGGCUAAUCCUGGUCGGACAUCAGGAGGUUAGUGCAAUGGCAUAAGCCAGCUUGACUGCGAGCGUGACGGCGCGAGCAGGUGCGAAAGCAGGUCAUAGUGAUCCGGUGGUUCUGAAUGGAAGGGCCAUCGCUCAACGGAUAAAAGGUACUCCGGGGAUAACAGGCUGAUACCGCCCAAGAGUUCAUAUCGACGGCGGUGUUUGGCACCUCGAUGUCGGCUCAUCACAUCCUGGGGCUGAAGUAGGUCCCAAGGGUAUGGCUGUUCGCCAUUUAAAGUGGUACGCGAGCUGGGUUUAGAACGUCGUGAGACAGUUCGGUCCCUAUCUGCCGUGGGCGCUGGAGAACUGAGGGGGGCUGCUCCUAGUACGAGAGGACCGGAGUGGACGCAUCACUGGUGUUCGGGUUGUCAUGCCAAUGGCACUGCCCGGUAGCUAAAUGCGGAAGAGAUAAGUGCUGAAAGCAUCUAAGCACGAAACUUGCCCCGAGAUGAGUUCUCCCUGAGACUUUAAGUCUCCUGAAGGAACGUUG
rnacentral:rRNA from 1 species